rnacentral:lncRNA from 1 species
UCGUCAGUCUAGUUCCCUUUCUUUCAGCUCGAGUCUGCCACUUCAGCCAUACCCUAUUCCUCACGAGCCGAGCCACUGGACGGCACGCAACAGUUUGGCACCUGAACAGGGACUUGAAGAAUGGCAGAAGGAUGCUGAGAGAACGCUGUUCGUGUGGCGCUCCACAGGAAAAGCAAAUGGUCUUCAUAUUGGGCACUGGAGCAACAAACAGGAGAAGAAGAUGGAGCACGAUGGCUGCCCGAGAGAUUAAUUCAUCAGCUGAACACAGAUCCUGAAUCUUCAGGUCAAUCAACACGCUUCAGCCAGACUGCAUGGGCGUGCAUCCCUGCCCCCAAGAGCAUGCAGGAAGCAGCUACUAAUUUUCAUUCUAAAGACAUUCCAGCUCGUAUUGUGGCUUUUGGUCUGAUUUGUGAUUAAGGUUUGCUACUAGGGCUAGAAAGGCAGAAAUUUCAAAUAUUAGAAGAAAUUGGUUUUUAUUCUGAUAGACGGGCUUAGUCCCUUAGCUGGUCUCUGGUUUUCCACCCUUGCUGUUAUUGCAAGGUCCCCUUAGUUCAUCAGGCUGUGGAAAUAACAGAGAUGAGGAGGGUGACCUCCAGCUCCUAAUAUAGCCUAAGAGCCACAAAUUGUGGUGUUACUAGUGACAUAAUUCUUGUUGAGGCCUUGCUCAAUCUGAGGUUGACAAUUCUCCCUUAGGAGCUUCACAGUACUCAGAACUGUGCAUGCUGCUUCGUAAUAACAUGAAUACAGUUAUGGGCACCAGCGUGGGUGCAGGAAAUUUCACUGCAGGGGAAGGUCCAAUGUGACCAUUUCUGGGUUCUCUGAGAGAUACACCCGGUUUGGAUGGAGGUUGGUAUCUAGUUCCAGUUACAACCAAGAAGAUCUUUCUAAGGCUCUGCCUCCCUUCCCCAAAAGAUACCAAGAGCCAUGAUUGUGGGUCGUGCCAGCAUCCACGGGAGGAAUCGGGUCAAUGUCCCUCCAGCCAUGGUUAAAGUCCACUGAUCCAAGGAUGAGAAAAUCAUUUGAUUACCUCAGUUAAGUGUGGCCUUAUUAAGCUUAAUUCAUCGGGGGCGGGGGGGGGGGAGGUUGAAGACCAUACUGUUAGGAGGGCAAGCCCUUCACAGCCUCCCACCCUAACAAGCCAAAUGGCCUUGUACUACGGAGCCUGUCCUCACCCCCUCCUCUCUGUUCCCCGCCUGUCAUCCAAGGCUGCAGAGGAGAAUCCACAUACUCUCCUUCAGUGUUACCAUAAUAUAGUGCCUUUCAAAAUUGUACAGUCUUGUUCAGUCAGUGUCCCAACGCCCUAGAUAGACCAUGUAGCUGACUGCUUGGUAUUCAGUAAAAAUUCAACAAGGAAGUUACCUAUUCAGUAACUAAUUAGCAUUAUAAAAGACGGAGCCAACAGCUCAGGGCUAGUCUGCUAGAUGUUUACUAGUACAGAAAGGACAGUCUUAUCCAGAUACGGUUUACCAUAAGAAAAGUUAGGAAUUCCCACUGAGACGGGUUUCUUCAUUAGGC